GAGCGCCAGCGAGAGAGCGUUGCCGCAGGCAACGACCCGAAGGGCGAAGCGCGCAGCGCUGAGUAAUCCUUCUCCCACCACCA
rnacentral:sRNA from 1 species